rnacentral:rRNA from 1 species
GAAGCGGCAACAGCUCAAAUUUGAAAUCUGGCGCAAGCCCGAGUUGUAAUUUGUAGAGGAUGCUUCUAGGCAGCGGCCGGUCUAAGUUCCUUGGAACAGGACGUCAUAGAGGGUGAGAAUCCCGUAUGUGACCGGUUGGCACCUUCCACGUAGCUCCUUCGACGAGUCGAGUUGUUUGGGAAUGCAGCUCUAAAUGGGAGGUAAAUUUCUUCUAAAGCUAAAUACCGGCCAGAGACCGAUAGCGCACAAGUAGAGUGAUCGAAAGAUGAAAAGCACUUUGGAAAGAGAGUUAAAAAGCACGUGAAAUUGUUGAAAGGGAAGCGCUUGCGACCAGACUUGUCGGCGGUGUUCCGCCGGUCUUCUGACCGGUCUACUCGCCGUCGGCAGGCCAGCAUCAUCUGGGGCCGCCGGAUAAAGGCUUUGGGAAUGUAGCUCCCCUCGGGGAGUGUUAUAGCCCUUUGCACAAUACGGUGCGCCUCGGGUGAGGUCCGCGUCUAGGCAAGGAUGCUGGCGUAAUGGUUGUAAGCGGCCCGUCUUGAAACACGGACCAAGGAGUCGAUUAUCUAUGCGAGUGUUCGGGCGUCAAACCCCUACGCGUAAUGAAAGUGAACGGAGGUGGGAACUACGGUGCACCAUCGACCGAUCCGGAUGUCUUCGGAUGGAUUUGAGUAAGAGCAUAGCUAAUCGGACCCGAAAGAUGGUGAACUAUGCCUGAAUAGGGUGAAGCCAGAGGAAACUCUGGUGGA